GUCCACGCCGUAAACGAUGAGAACUAGAUGUUGGGGAAUUACCUUCCAGUGUCGCAGCUAACGCGUUAAGUUCUCCGCCUGGGGAGUACGGCCGCAAGGUUGAAACUCAAAGGAAUUGACGGGACCCGCACAAGCGGUGGAGCAUGUGGUUUAAUUCGAUGCAACGCGAAGAACCUUACCUGGCCUUGACAUCCCAGGAACCCCGCAGAGAUGUGGGGUGCCUUCGGGAACCUGGAGACAGGUGCUGCAUGGCUGUCGU
rnacentral:rRNA from 1 species